GAUGAAGAACGUAGCGAAAUGCGAUAAGUAAUGUGAAUUGCAGAAUUCAGUGAAUCAUCGAAUCUUUGAACGCACAUUGCGCCCCCUAGUAUUCCGGGGGGCAUGCCUGUCCGAGCGUCAUUACAACCCUCAAGCUCAGCUUGGUGUUGGGCCCCGCCGCCCCGGCGGGCCCUAAAGUCAGUGGCGGUGCCGUCCGGCUCCGAGCGUAGUAAUUCUUCUCGCUCUGGAGGUCCGGUCGUGUGCUCGCCAGCAACCCCCAAUUUUUUUCAGGUUGACCUCGGAUCAGGUAGGGAUACCCGCUGAACUUAAGCAUAUCAAUAAGCGGAGGA
rnacentral:misc_RNA from 1 species